GUGCAAGACCAGCCUAAGCUACAAAGUGUGCUCAAGGCCAGCCAGAACUGUAUUGCAGGACCUUGUCUCACAAAAGGCAAAAAAAAAAAAAAAAAAAAAAUCAAGAAAGAGGCAAAAGGUUGGUGUAUCAGAAUUAAGGGAGAAGUAGCAGCAAGAUUAUCACUGGAAACAAAAACAGGUCCCAGAGGAAUAACUUGGAGGUGUCGUAACGUGGAGAGACGUGCUGUCACACAUGGUAGACGAGAAGCUCGAGGAGCUGUGCAACCGCCGUGCAAUUUCAGUGCUUGGUGGAUGUAAAACACCGCUGCUGCCUGAGGAAAGGAGCUCCCUCCCAAGACAAGGGGAGAGUAACUAAUAGGUAUUCAACAGGACGUGAAAGGUGAAAUGAAAUUAAUAGGAUAAAGCAUUCUUAUUUAACAUG
rnacentral:lncRNA from 1 species